rnacentral:lncRNA from 1 species
UCAAAUUGGCCACUCCUAGCCGUUUUUGUAGCCAACCCUAGCUCACGCGACAGACUGGUACUGUUGAGUCGGUUCAAUUUUUUUGAUUCAUGUUUUUGCAGAUCUUUUGUGUCCAUUCGAAUCCUCAGUCUCUAAUGUGAAUUCUCAUACUUUUUCCAAUAAAAUUGGCCACUUAUAGCCUUUUAUGUUGCCAACCCUAGCUCACGUGACAGACUGGUACUGUUGAGUCAGUUCAAUUUUUUUGAUUCAUGUUUUGGCAGAUCUUUUGUGUCCAUUCGAAUCCUCAAUCUCUAAUGUGAAUUCUCAUACUUUUUCCAAUAAAAUUGGCCACUUAUCGCCUGUUAUGUUGCCAACCCUAGCUCACGUGACUGACUGGUACUUUUGAGUCAGUUCAAUUUUUUUGAUUCAUGUUUUGGCAAAUCUUUUGUGUCCAUUCGAAUCCUCAAUAUCUAAUGUGAAUUCUCAUACUUUUCCCAAUCAAAUUGGCCACUUCUGGCCUUUUAUGUUGCCAACCCUAGCUCACGCUACAGACUGGUAUUGUUGAGUCGGUUCAAUUGUUUUGAUUCAUGUUUUGACAGAUCUUUUGUGUCCAUUCGAAUCCUCAGUCUCUAAUGUGAAUUCUCAUACUUUUUCCAAUCAAAUUGGCCACUUCUCGCCUUUUAUGUUGCCAACCCUAGCUCACGUGACAGACUGGUACUGUUG